CUACGGGCAUGCUUAUACAUAUCAUAAUGUUAUACACAUGUGUUCUGUGCAUUUCUGAUGUUCACAUGCUUAAUGCAUAAUGUUUUGCAGGCCUUACGAGCUCUAUAAUAGUUGAAGAUAAACCCUUUUCAAGCAUCAUACCCGUAGCUCAAAAUGCUGGGGAAAACUCAGCUACAGUUCCAGGUAUAAUGCUUUUCUGAAUAAUUUUGAUAAUGUUGAUAAUGUUGCCAGGUAGAUACGACAUUUGAAUCAUUUCCUUGUAUUCAUCCUCUUUACAACCCUACACUUGGAACAAUGUCAUUUCCGGAUGGAGAGCAUAAUGAGGCUUUGUUUACGGCUCCGAGUAUACUGACUUUGGAUUAUUGCACAAAUGAAAAUGAUGGAACAAGUUCGCAACGGAUAGGCGGUGAACUUAUAGGCGAUGAACCUUCAAACGAUGAUAUCGAUGGUGCGACAAAUCUGACAGAUCCAUAGGUGUAAGUCAUAUAACAAGGGAACAAUUCAACACACAAAGGCGUGCAACUUAUCAGAAGAAAAAAGUCCUAGACAAUGUGUUGUUGCAAGAGAUUCAACAGCCCUGCUUGUCGAAAUCUGACCAGAGGGAACUUAACAAUGCGUGGAGGCGGGCAUCUUAUCGCAUUAGCAAGUUAGAGGGUUUGAAUGAACAACCAGUCGAUGGCCACAUUGUUCAACGUCGUACCCUAGGUGAUAUCACCAAUGUUCGUCAACCUAGACAUGUGAUCUCAGAUGACUUGAAUGUCACCAAAGAGAAUCCAGCAAAAACGGAUGAAGAUCGCAAAAGAGAUCAUAGAAACGCCCUCAGGAGAGCGUCUUAUCGGAGGAAAAAAGAGCGGAUUCUCCAAGAAGAUAAACUCCACGUCCUUAAUUUAUCAGAUGUCGACGAGAAUAUACUUGAAGAAACAAAUCAUAUAACCGAGGAAGAGCGCAAGAGAGAUCAUAGAAAUGCUCUUAGGAGAGCUUCUUAUCGGAGGAAAAAGGAUAAGAUACAAGCAGAUGAAAAUUUACGGCCACGACCUAAAACAGGUAAGUAGGAUUUUUAUUAAUGCACGGUGCAUACCUUAUCAUACCAACUGUUUCUUUAUGUUCACGUUGACUGACAA